GGGUGCGAACAUACCAGCACUAAUGCACCGGAUCCCAUCAGAACUCCGAAGUUAAGCGUGCUUCGGCGAGAGUAGUACUAGGAUGGGUGACCCCCUGGGAAGUCCUCGUGUUGCACCCA
rfam:Erythranthe guttata cultivar DTN x IM62 scaffold_350_contig_5, whole genome shotgun sequence.